rnacentral:rRNA from 1 species
AUUGAACGCUAGCGGGAUGCCUUACACAUGCAAGUCGAACGGAGUGGCGAACGGGUGGGUAAUGUAUCGGUACGUGCCCAGUUGCCGGGGAUAACUACGCGAAAGCGUAGCUCAUACCCUAAUGUAUUGCAGCGGCCGAUAUCCGAUUAGGUAGUUGGUGGGGUAACGGCUUACCAAGGCGACGAGCCGUAGCUGGUUUGAGAGGACGACCAGCCACACUGGGACUGAGACACGGCCCAGACUCCUACGGGAGGCAGCAGUGGGGAAUAUUGGACAAUGGGGGAAACCCUGAUCCAGCCAUCCCGCGUGUGUGAUGAAGGCCUUCGGGUUGUAAAGCACUUUUGGCAGGAAAGCGGUACCCGCAGAAUAAGCACCGGCUAACUACGUGCCAGCAGCCGCGGUAAUAC